CGGACUAACAGGUGUUUGAGGGUCAGAAUUCUACCUGAUGGACAGGUGUUCAAAUACUUAAUUGCAGCUGUGUCACACAAAUAAAUAGUUAAAAAUCAUACAUUGUGAUUUCUGGAUUUUUUUUAUAUUAUCUGUCUCACAUUGGACAUGCACCUAUUGUUCUGCCCCAAGUGUUUAAUAUGUUAAGAAGAUCGAUUUUAUUUGAAAAGAUCUGUUUGUGUUGUUAAUUUUGAGAGUGCAUUGCUGAGCUUUUAUUUUGAAACUGUAGAAUACAUGAAGUAGGAAGCGCUGAGCAGAGCGAAAAACAAACAAAAAAAAAAAACAUGUCAACAGUUGAAAGAUGUUGGUUGAAAUCAUCUUAUUCCUGUGGAUGAAUCCGUCAGAAAGCAAUGGCUUUUCACUCCAUUUUCAUUGUUUCACCCGACUUAACCUGUUAAGAAGUCAUUAAAGGAGCAAGCACGCUCACUUCCUGGCUCUUGAGAAGGAGUUUGGCUGGCUGUUUAUUCAUGUUAGCACUUUGGAAGUAAAACACACGAAGAGAACAGUACAUUGAAAAGCCAGUGAAUGAGAAGGAUUCGUCUGCCACCGUUAUGGAAGCACAAGCAAUAGAAAGGGAGGAGAAAGCGGCAUCAGUGUUCAGCUCCAACUCCAAAGCAACUUCCAAGUCUUCAGUAGUUAGUGGUGCUGCUAGAGCUAGAGCUAAAGCCGAAGCUGCACGCACCAGAGUCACAUUCGCUCAGAAGGAGUUCGAACUGAAAAGACAGAGAGCUAGAUUGGAUUUGGAAAAGGCUACACUAGAAGCGGAUUUAGAAGCUCUAGGACUGGAAAAGGCAGCUGCUGCUGCUAUUGUAGAGGCUGAAGUUUUAGAAGCUGCAGCAGGACCAGAAUAUGAGGAUAGGUGCAGCGCCAGGAGUCGCAUCUCAUCGCAGAUAACAUGUCAGCGUACAAAGGCAUAUGUGGAACAUCAGGCUCGAGCCAUCUUUGUAACUGAAUCGUCUGUGGAUAUAAAUCCUCAUUGUUUUAAAGAAGCGUCGCCACCAAGACAGCAGGAAGCUCCUGAAUUAACCCCUGCACACAACUGUGAUGCCACGCCUACAAGGAACACACAGCAAAGUGAGUACUUAUCAGCACCUCAGCCUCAGACAAGCCUGUUUAAGCGCUCCAACCCGCACUCUCAGCCUCUCAGCUCGCAACCUCAGAACCCCCAGUCCUCCUUUAAAGCCUAUCAGGAGCAGAGCUCUCCCUCAUUCAGUCAUGCUAGCCAAUCAAACCACUUCAUAUAGAGCAACCCACAGCAUUCUUCUUCUGCUCCAGCCGCUAACAUGAUAGACUUCGCUAGGUACCUAGCCCGCAGAGAGUUGGUAACCACGGGACUCACUAAAUUCGUUGACCAGUCUGAGAGCUACAGAGCAUGGGAGUCCUCUUUCCUUAACGCCAUUCAGGGCUUAGAGUUGACACCCAGUGAAGAGCUGGACCUCCUGGUAAAAUGCCUGGGAAAGGAGUCAUCUGAACAUGUUAAAAGAAUACAUGCUGUCCACAUCACCAAUCCUCACGCUGCUCUCGAAUUAGCCUGGACAAGACUCCAAGAAUGCUAUGCUACCCCUGAAGUGAUUGAGAAUGCUUUAUUCAAACGAUUGGACAAUUUUCCUCGGCUAACCUCCAAAGAUAACAUCAAGCUAAGAGAACUUAGCGAUCUGAUCUUUUCUCUAUUCUCAGCCAAGCAGGAUGGCUAUCUACCAGGACUGAGCUACCUUGACACUCCUCGAGGAAUUAAGCCAAUCGUGGAAAAGCUGCCACCAAACUUACAGGAAAAAUGGCUGUCUGCUGGCUCAAACUACAAAGAACGGUACAGAGUGUGUUUCCCUCCUUUCUCGUUUUUUGUUGACUUUGUCAGAUGUCAGGCAAAGGCCAGAAAUGACCCCAGCUUUGUGUUGGUGAGCAGUAACCGCAGCCAUUACCAUAGUGAAAGAGCCACAACCAAGCAUGAUAGUGCUAGGACAGCUGUGUUUGUGCAUAGAACAGAUGUGUCAACAACAGAUUCAAGCUUGUUACACAAAACAUCUCCUGACAAGAAAGGUAGUGAUGACCCAACCAAGUACUGUCCAGUGCACAAUAAGCCACAUCGUCUGGAAAAAUGUAGAGCUUUUAGAAUGAAGCCGCUAAUGGAACGCAAAAGGCUGCUAAAAGAAUACAGACGUUGUUUCAAGUGCUGUUCUGGUACUCAUGUGGCUAGAGAGUGUCCAGCAGAGCUGAAAUGCAAUGAGUGUGAACGCAAUCAACAUUGCACUGUCAUGCACCCAGACACUGCUGUCUCCCCUGCACCAUCUCCUCCGACAGAAUCAGACGUAGAACAGCAAAACAGCUCUCCUCCAGAAGUGACCUCCAGGUGCACCAAGGUCUGCGGCGAAGGUCUCCCACCAAGGUCCUGCGCCAAGAUAUGUUUAGUCCGGGUUUUUCCCCAAGGACAGCGAGAACGCUCAAUUAAGAUGUAUGCCAUCCUCGACGACCAGAGCAAUCGAUGACUGGCCAGGUCUGAAUUUUUUAAGCUGUUUGACAUCCAAGGGGACCAUACACCUUACCUGAUGAGGACCUGUGGUGGAACCACGGAAAUCACUGGGAGAAAGGCUGUUGGUUUUCAGAUCGAAGCAUUGAAUGGUGAAGUGUGUUUGGACUUGCCUCCGCUCAUUGAAUGUAAUGAAGUUACGAGCAACAGAUCGGAAAUCCCUUCUCCAGAGAUCGCUCACUCCCAUGCUCACUUGAGAUCCAUGGCACCUCACAUCCCAAAGAUCGAUCCUAAAGCACAGAUCUUAAUCCUACUGGGGAGAGACCUCAUACAAGUUCACAAGGUGAGAGAUCAAAUCAAUGGACCCCACAACGCUCCCUUUGCUAGGAUGGGUUAUUGUAGGGGAGGUUUGCAUCGAUAGUACAUACAAGUCCAAUGUAUCAGUCCUUAAAACCCAUGUCCUACAGAAUGGACGCCCAUCUUUUCUGAUGCCCUGCCAGAAUCACAUCAGUGUGAGAGAGAGAGUAGGCUACGGCGGGGAGCACAGACAGUCUACCUCCGCACAGCUGACAACAUAUCCUGCGUCUGGUGUUACUGCAAAAGAUAAACUCGGACGAGAUGUGUUCGUGAGAACGGAAGAUGAUAACAAACCUGCCUUGUCCUUCGAAGAUGAGACCUUUCUGGAGAUCAUGCAAGCAGAGUUCAAGAGAGAUGAGCAAAACAGUUGGAUCGCUCCUCUACCAUUCAGAACACCCAAACCACACCAACCAGAAACACCCAGAUCCUUUGAGCUGGUGGAUCCUGAGGAAGACGUGGAUGUGAGGCCUCAGCUGACCACUCUUUCUACUUCGCUCAGAGAAAGUGAACUCACCUCAGAACGAUUCCAACAGUUCUCGACCUGGGAGUCCUUGCUGAGAGCAGUUUCCUUCUUGAUCCAUCAGAUUCGCUCACACAGGACAAACUCAACAGUUACAUGUAAAGGAUGGCAUCAGUGCAACCAACCUCGCACUCCAGAAGAGUUAGAAGCGGCAAAGAUCGUCAUAAUCAAAGCUGCCCAGAGAGAUGCUUAUCCAGAAGAGUGUGUCGCACUACUAGAGAACAGGGCCAUACCAAAAUCCAGCACGAUUCUGAAUCUCGACCCUUUCGUGUGUGAUGGUCUCCUGCGAAUAGGAGGAUGUCUGAGACAUGCUUCAGUCAAUCCCGAGGUCAAAAACCCAAUCAUUCUCCUGAAACAAAGUUACAUCACAAGAUUGCUCGUGAGUCAUCACCAUGCGAAGGUGAAACACCAAGGACGGCAGUUCACAGAGGGAGCAAUCAGGGCUGCUGGUCUGUGGAUUGUUGCUGGCAAAGGAUUAAUAGGCUCAGUUCUUCAUCGCUGUGUCACAUGCUGCAAGCUCAGAGGAAAACUUGAGACACAAAAGAUGGCUGACCUCCCUUCAGAACGUCUGAGCUCAUCUCCACCAUUCACGUAUGUAGGGUUAGAUGUUUUUAGACCCUGGAAUGUGAUCAGUCGACGCACAAGCGGCGGAAUGGCUCAAAGUAAGCGAUGGGCUGUACUUUUUACAUGUAUGAGCACCAGGGCUGUACAUGUGGAAGUUAUAGAGUCCAUGGAUACUGCCAGUUGUAUCAAUGCCCUGCGAAGGUUCUUCGCCUUAAGAGGGCCAGCUAAGCAACUGAGAUCGGACAGAGGCACGAACUUUGUGGGAGCCAGCUCUGAGCUGUGUAUGGAACGAGCUGAUCCAGGUCAAGCCUCCACUCUUAAGUUCCUCCACGAGAAUGGUUGUACCUGGGAAUUCAAUCCCCCACACGCAUCCCACAUGGGAGGAGUCUGGGAGCGCAUGAUCGGCAUAACCCGAAGAAUUUUUGACUCCAUGUUGCUGCAAACCAGACAUACUCACCUGACCCAUGAAGUGCUUUGCACCCUCUUGGCAGAGGUAUCUGCUAUCAUCAUGGCAAGGCCUUUGAUCCUAAUCUCUUCUGAUCCCACUUCUCCAAUGACGUUGACCCCUGCUAUGCUCUUGACCCAAAAACCGGGGAUACCUGCUCCACCUGGAGGCUUCAACGAAAAGGAUCUCUUCAAGUGUCAGUGGAAACAAGUGCAAGCAUUGGCAAACGAAUUCUGGUCUCGAUGGAGGGAUGAAUAUCUCCACACCCUUCAGCCAAGAUGCAAAUAGCACACACCACGUCGUAACCUGCAGGUUGGAGACCGAGUGCUGCUGAAGCAGAGCCAGACACAUCGCAACGAGUGGCUGAUGGGGCUUGUCGUCUCCACCUUCCCAAGCAGUGAUUGACAAGUCCGCAAAAUUGAAGUCAACCUGUUAAGAAGUCAUUAAAGGAGCAAGCACGCUCACUUCCUGGCUCUUGAAAAGGAGUUUGGCUGGCUGUUUAUUCAUGUUAGCACUUUGGAAGUAAAACACAUGAAGAGAACAGUACACCUAUGAUGAAAAUUUCUGACCCCUCCAUGAUUUCUAAGUGGGUGAGUGAGUAGUUCCUACAAACAGAAAUGUCUUUUUCUUUGUUUUUGUUGCUUUGUUGUUCUCUGUUCUGAAUGUCAUACUAGGGCAGCACCGACUGCCACAGAAAAAUUCCUUGUGUGUUUUUACACACUUGGCCAAUAAAUUCUGAUUCUUAGAACUUCACAAAUUUAAAUAGAGUCAUCCACAUUUUAACUGGAAAGUUGUAAAAACAUUUUUUUUAUCCUUCAGUCUCAUAUUGUUUUUGUUUAUAUUCCUCUAAAAGGACCUUUAAAAGUUUUUUUACACUUGUCAUUUUGCCACUGUGUUUGUUUUUGUGUAUCUUUAUGUGCUGCUGCUGAAGAGGUUUGUUGCGUCCCUGUCGAUGAAAAGCCUUUGGAUUCCUUCUCGAAGAUGUCCACCCGAGUC